rnacentral:rRNA from 1 species
CUGCGGAGGCUUACUGAGAGGGGGACUUCGCGUCCCCCGGGGGGUUUCGGCCCUCCAACUCUUCAACCCGUGCUUACACACCUCUGUUUCUUUGGCGAGCGCCGGGGCGUCUCACGUCUCGGCCCUGACCCUAGGGUCGGUGCGUUCUCGCCAGAGCCCCCUAAUCAUUCUGUUUGUCAGUGACGUCCGAGUAUAUCGAAUAUAAAUCAAAACUUUCAACAACGAAUCUCUUGGUUCUGGCAUCGAUGAAGAACGCAGCGAAAUGCGAUAAGUAAUGUGAAUUGCAGAAUUCAGUGAAUCAUCGAAUCUUUGAACGCACAUUGCGCCCCUUGGUAUUCCGAGGGGCAUACCUGUUCGAGCGUCAUUGCAUCCUCAAGCUUUGCUUGGUAUUGAGCUUUUCGCCGGAGACGGCGUGCUCGAAAGUUAGKGSGGUCCAGGGAGACUUCAAGCGCAGUAAAACUUUCCCGCUUUCGAGGUUCUCGCCUGUGGCCAGCCGUAAACCCCCCACUUUCAAUGGUGAC